rnacentral:tRNA from 2 species
AGCCCCGGCCGACAAUUAGUCGGCAUCCUUGGAUUUGCAAUCCAAAAUGUUAUACACCACAAGGCU